AGAGUUUGAUCCUGGCUCAGAACGAACGCUGGCGGCGCGUUUUAAGCAUGCAAGUCGAACGGUAGUAUGGUGCUUGCACCAUAUGAGAGUGGCGAACGGGUGAGUAACACGUAGGUGAUCUAGCUAAAAGUUGGGGAUAGCCUGUGGAAACACAGGGUAAUACCGGAUGUGGCCCUGCACUUUAGGGUGUAGGGAGAAAGAGGCUAAGGCCUUGCUUUUAGAUGAGCCUGCGGCUCAUUAGCUAGUUGGUGGGGUAAAGGCCUACCAAGGCGACGAUGAGUAGCCGGCCUGAGAGGGCGACCGGCCACACUGGGACUGAGACACGGCCCAGACUCCUACGGGAGGCAGCAGCUAAGAAUCUUCCGCAAUGGCCGAAAGGCUGACGGAGCGACGCCGUGUGGACGAAGAAGGCCGGAAGGUUGUAAAGUCUUUUUCUCAGAGAAGAAUAAAGCAGGGAGGGAAUGCCCUGAAGAUGACGUUAUCUGAGGAAUAAGCCCCGGCUAAUUACGUGCCAGCAGCCGCGGUAACACGUAAGGGGCAAGCGUUGUUCGGAAUUAUUGGGCGUAAAGGGCGCGUAGGCGGCUUGGCAAGCCUGGUGUGAAAGGCCACAGCUUAACUGUUGGAGUGCGCUGGGAACUGCUUGGCUAGAGUUCAGGAGGGGAAGCUGGAAUUCCUGGUGUAGGGGCGAAAUCUGUAGAUAUCAGGAAGAACACCUGUGUCGAAGGCGAGCUUCUGGCCAUGAACUGACGCUGAGGCGCGAAAGCGUGGGGAGCGAACAGGAUUAGAUACCCUGGUAGUCCACGCCGUAAACGAUGUGCACUAGGUGUUGGCUGUUGUAACGGUCAGUGCCGAAGCAAACGCGAUAAGUGCACCGCCUGGGGAGUAUGCUCGCAAGGGUGAAACUCAAAGGAAUUGACGGGGGCCCGCACAAGCGGUGGAGCAUGUGGUUUAAUUCGAUAUACGCGAGGAACCUUACCAGCGCUUGACAUAUGCAUGACGAUCAUAGAGAUAUGGUUUCCCUUCGGGGCGUGUAUACAGGUGCUGCAUGGUUGUCGUCAGCUCGUGCUGUGAAGUGUUGGGUUAAGUCCCGCAACGAGCGCAACCCCUGCUGUCUGUUACCAGCACGUAAUGGUGGGGACUCAGACGGUACUGCCGGUGACAAACCGGAGGAAGGUGGGGACGACGUCAAAUCAUCAUGGCCCUUAUGUCCUGGGCUACACACGUGCUACAAUGGCUGGUACAGAGCGCAGCAAAACCGCGAGGUGGAGCAAAUCGCAGAAAACCGGUCUCAGUACGGAUUGGAGUCUGAAACUCGACUUCAUGAAGUUGGAAUCGCUAGUAAUCGCGCAUCAGCAUGCGCGGUGAAUACGUUCCCGGGCCUUGUACACACCGCCCGUCACACCACCCGAGUUGGGGGUACCCGAAGUCGCUCGUCUAACCGGUUACGGAGGACGGUGCCGAAGGUAUGCCUGGUAAGGGGGGUGAAGUCGUAACAAGGUA
rnacentral:rRNA from 1 species